ensembl:lncRNA
CAAAAACAAGAGACGGUCUUCUUUGUUGGUCCAUCAUUGUAUAGCAGCUACGGCACGUGGAAUAUUUUUGCACCAUGUAAAACGUUCUGCUACCAACUGGAGGAAAAGCUAAUUAUAGUGGGGAAUAAGCGCAAUAAGAAUUGGAGGAUGGUGGAAAUUGUUCGUGACUCAGGUCAGUUUUAUAAGUUAGCUCCGUGUUGUUAAAUGUGCUCCACCCGUAGCCAUCAUUGGCAAGGCAGCGCGUUUUCAGGCGAAUUCACCCUGGAAUAGGGCACAUUAGCAAAGCAGAACCGAGAGCCGCUUCUGAAACGCGCCGCGCCUCGUCUGGCGGAAUCACAAGCAUUAUAGAGUGGCCGCGAUCAGCUAGCUACGGUGACCGCGUUGGAGCCCGAACGCGCGGCAGAUGCGCCCUGUGAAAUCUAGUUACCAGACCCACUCUCAGGAUGGUAGCGGCGUGCGUGUUUCCGGCGGAGGACAUCAACACUGAAAGCCAGCAGCGAGCAUGGAGGAGGGGCCCACUCCCGACCCGGAGUUCGUGGAUGUGGACCAGGGCAUGACGCUGGCCUGCGUGGCCUUCCUCUGCCUCCUCCUGGUGGCCAUGAUCAUCCGCUGUGCCCGGGUCAUCAUGGACCCCUACAGCGCCAUACCGACCUCCACCUGGGAGGAGCAGCAUCUGGACGACUAGGGCACCGGCUGGACAUACCAAGGAACACGUGGUGGUGCGAGGGUGCAGAUUCCCUCAGAGUAACGCGAGCGUGGGUCAAGACAGGCAUACAAAUGGACGCAUACGAACAUACUCGUGUAGGCACGUUUAGGGCCUUGUUUAUGUUACACUAUAAUGAACCCGAGACUCAAGACGCUAGAUUAUAAUGUUGUGUAAACUUGCAGGUCCACAGCUCAUGACGCCACCAUCCGAGGUAGCGUGCACAAGAAUUCCCAUAGAGAAUGCCUGGAGUUUUGCCAGUUUGAGGAGAUUUGUGUGGGAACUGUAUCGAGUGCAUGUGCAGGGCGCACGCGCGUUGCUUUAUUUUCUGGCGAUUGAUGUUCACAAUCCCGCGUGGUACGUCUCGAACAUGCCGGUGUAAAUUCAAACGCUGUGGAAGUCUGUUUAACGUUUUAUUCUCGCUAUUUAACGUUUUAUUCUCGCUAUUUAACGUUUUAUUCUCGCUGUUCUCACAACAUGCCCACAGGGUUAUACACACACAUUCACACAAACAUACACGAGUGGGCGUGAUUAUGCUCCCGAAGAGUUACACUGCCUGACCACACUACCAUUGCCUGGUAUCAGUCAGUUCUUGAGAAGCAGGGUACGUGUGACAUUGGAGAAAGGCAUCCGAUUUUACAGACUGACUCCACCUUCGCCCUGCAGACUGUUUUCUGCACAUGCUUGGUGAGACUGGUGAUGAUGAAGAUGACCAUGAUGAUGAUAAGGAUGUUGAAGAGGAGGACAUUAUUUGGUCCUUUAAGAAUUUUUACAGUUGAUCACAAUUCAUCUUACAAAAGCAUCUCAUGAUUUGUACUUUUUGUAAGGAAUCUGAACAAUGACUUUGUCUACGUAUUGACUUGCUUCUGCUCUGCCUGUUUCAGCCUGUAAAUGAACAAGGCUCUGAGCAUCUUUAUCCAGUUGUCUUAUCUAAUGUGCAAAAGACGACAGCAUGGCAAAGAAGUGGGGAACCUUUACAGCCUAGACACACACACGCACAUGCACACACACAAACAGACACACCCACACACACACACAGACACACCCACACACACACACAGACACACCCACACACAAACAGACACACCCACACACAAACAGAAACACCCACACACACAAUACCAUGGAAACUCCAGAGCAAGUGCUUGUUUCCAAUAACUUGCUGCUCAAAGACCUAUAAUCACCAGCCUCGUCCCCUUCCAUUCAUAAACAACAAGUAUUUAUUGCUGCUGUCCGUCCAUUAGCUUGAGCACAAAACUCCCACGAUGGUCUAGUAUCUUUCUGUUCUGUCAUGUCUCUAGCCAGUGCAUUUAUAAAUAGCAAAAUGAUUGUCUGACUUGCAUGUUAUGAAGUGCCUCAGCUGACACCACAGAAUAGCCAAUUCUGAUGCCAUUUAGCACAGUAUGGCUGAAUUCCAAAUCAACCUCUAAUUACUAUUCGCUAUCCCCUACCCCCUAGACGAUCCUGUCAAUCUCUUGUAUUAGAUAAAUGCAAGCAAUAGGGUGACUGUUCGUCCGAGCCUGUCUGAAGGUAAUAUGAGGCAAUGCAAUCACCAUAGAUUAUGGUUAGUGAUGACUUUCAUCUAAGGGCUGGAGGGUAAGGAACUAGCUAUGGGGGCUGGUUUGGAUUUCAGCAGGUGAUUGACAAACAUUAACCAGCAAUUUAGAAGCAGGUGACCAGAAUGUGCUCCUUUUAACCUGUCUCUAAUAAAAAAAAUAUAACGAAUUACGAAAACCUUAUUUUAAGACGAGUUCAUUGUCUUUGUAAUUAGCUGUAAAUGAAAACCUAACCGAAUCUAAUCUUUCAUGAUCUUG